rnacentral:rRNA from 1 species
CGCGUAGGUGGUCCUUCAAGUCAGAUGUGAAAUCUCCCGGCUUAACUGGGAGCGGUCAUCUGAUACUGCUGGACUUGAGGGUGGUAGAGGGAGGUGGAAUUCCCGGUGUAUUGGUGAAAUGCGUAGAUAUCGGGAGGAACACCAGUGGCGAAGGCGGCCUCCUAGGCCAUUCCUGACACUGAGGCGCGAAAGCGUGGGGAGCGAACAGGAUCAGAUACCCUGGUAGUCCACGCCCUAAACUGUGGAAACUAGGUACAGGGAGUAUCGACCCUUCCUGCGCCGUAGCUAACGCGUUAAGUUUCCCGCCUGGGGACUACGGUCGCAAGACUAAA